CGAGUGCCUCAAGCGUUAUCCGGAAUCAUUGGGCGUAAAGGGUGUGUAGGUGGUUUUGUUAGUCUUCUGUUAAAUUCUUCGGCUUAACCGGGGGCAUGCAGAGGAAACGGCAAAACUAGAGGAUGGAAGAGGUAUGCGGAACUCUAAGUGUAGGGGUGAAAUCCGUUGAUAUUUAGGGGAACACCAAAAGCGAAGGCAGCAUACUGGUCCACUCCUGACACUGAAACACGAAAGCGUGGGUAGCGAAUGGGAUUAGAUACCCCAGUAGUCCACGCCCUAAACGAUGUUCAUUAGCUAUUCGGAGUAUCGACCCUCUGAGUGGCGUAGCUAACGCGUUAAAUGAACCGCCUGGGUAGUACGACCGCAAGGUUA
rnacentral:rRNA from 1 species